CUCCUGGAAGUCUUUUGAUGGUCCUGCAGAUUCAUUAAGAGGGGUCUCUGCUGGUCAUAUUCACUGAAUGCUUCAGUAUUAAAGGGAGCUGCUGAGGAGCCGCUUGGUCCAUCCCUGGAUUCUCCAAGCACUGACUGCCCAUCCACUCUGACCACAGCCGGGGCCACAUCCCACCGCCUGCCCAGCGUCCAUCCAUGGCGGUGAGCUCCGUGUCCCCACCUUCUGCCUCACCCACCGAAGGAGAUGAUCCAUGUGAGACAGAUGUCACCGACGUGGCCAUACACAGUGUGACACUGCUCAUCUGUCUCUGUGGGCUGGCCGGGAACGGGGCUCUUCUGCCUCCUCAGAUGGAAAGGGCAUACUGCCAGCAUCUUUAGCCUGGCUGUCACCGACUUCAUCUUCCUCCUCUUUGCGGUCCCCUCUGCCCUGCUCUUCCUGCUGGAAGAUGUGUUCUGCUCUCCUGUCAUGCCCCUGAGGUACGUGAGAUUCCUUUACCUGGUGUCAGCGUUCUCCUGCUACUGGGUGCUCUUCUGGAUGACAGCCAUCAGCGCCAAAAAGGACAUG